GGAUUUUGGGACGACGAUCCGGAUUUCAAAGACCGUUUACGGCCCCCUCGAGAUCUUCUUCGCGCCGUGUGGAAAUUGUCGCAGUGACGGUGGGCGCCUGUCAGCUUCCCGAUCUAGAAGAACCGCCUAGCGCCGGGAACGUGGCCAACAAGAACCGGGCCGCUCGAGACAUCUCUCGCGCCAUUGACCAUCCUCGCCAAGACCGAAGUCGCUGGUUUGCCGCGACAUCACAUCAGCCGGAUCAGCUUCCCGAUCACAAGAACGCUCGCUCGCACCGUUUGACCGUCUUCGCCAAGACCGACGUCGCUGGUGCGGCGGAUUUAACUGUUUCUUCGCGAACUUCAACGUAUUUCGUACAUUUAAAAUCACCAUCACCAAUGGUCGUUAUCUGAACCGUUUCAACGCGUAAAGAGAAUCGCUGACCUGAUCAACAAGAACCUCCUAGCGCCGGGAACGUGGCCAACAAGAACCGGGCCGCUCGAGACAUCUCUCGCGCCAUUGACCAUCCUCGCCAAGACCGAAGUCGCUGGUUUGCCGCGACAUCACAUCAGCCGGAUCAGCUUCCCGAUCACAACCAGCACGGAACCGGAUCACACUUUGGUGCUUACGGGUCAGGACCAGUACGUCAAAUUCGGCAGUUCUCAAGACCAGAAAAUCACAUUGGUGACCGGGACAGUCUUCAGCAGUGCCAUUUGAGCCUUCUCCUGCUCCUUCCUGCUGAUCAGGUCGGCUCUGACUGGUGAAAGCGGCGGCCCUGAAGGAUCGCGUGGUCGUGAGGGCCUCGGUUUAAAAAGCGAACUUGAGCAGAAAUGCGCGCGGGCAGCAACAUCAUUUCGUGUGCGGCCCGAUUGAAGGUGCGGACACCGUCCGGACGGUAUAUGUCUCUCUCUGGAAAUUGACGGAUGCGACGAAUUUCUCUAGACUUCUUAAGUCGGUCCCCGCCAAAAUUGAGAGAUUCUACGUACUCGUUUUUUGUUAAACAUACUUUAAUAAAUAAAAAUUUCGUUGUGAAUUUGUUUUCAAUUAAAUUGUAUUUAAAUCUGAUUUCAACCGAAACCCCCUCCCCCAAUAAGCGCCUAAAGAUAGGCAACCUGCAAAGCCUCUAAAUCCGGUGAAAUAUUUCGCCAUGCUCGAACUCGGCAGUUCAUGAAAAUCAUGACAUUUUAAGA